rnacentral:sRNA from 1 species
AACGAACUGAAAGGAGGUGAUCCGAUGUCGAGUGAUUUCGUUUUCCAGAACGUGGCCUCAGCGGAUUGCCCUUUCGGGAAGCAGUCUUCCCGUUAAGGCGCGAGAUGCGCGGCUGGUGACUCAAUCAGCCUGAGCCGCGCCAUGGACGGAAACACGGAGGCCGUUCCCUGCAAGGGGAGCGGCCU